GCCAUGGAAACCUAUCCUCUGCGAUUACCAUUAGGAUUAGAUUUAGUUUUAAGAGACUGUUAUUAUGUGCCUGCAGUAAGCAAGAAUUUGAUUUCUGUUUUAUGUUUAGUACAAGAAGGCUAUGUGAUUAGCUUUCAUAAGAACCAUUGUAAUAUUUUUUAUGAAAAUAAUAAAGUUGCAAAUAGUUUUGUCAUUAACGGUCUCUAUCAGUUAC
rnacentral:lncRNA from 1 species